rnacentral:rRNA from 1 species
UUUGAUACUGGCUAGUCUUGAGUUCGAGAGAGGUAAGUGGAAUUCCCGAGUGUAGAGGUGAAAUUUCGUAGAUAUUCGGAGGAACACCCAGUGGGCGAAGGCGGGCUUACUGGCUCGAUACUGACCGCUGAGGGUGCGAAAAGUGUGGGGAGCCAAACCAGGAUUAGAUACCCCUGGUAGUCCACACCGUAAACGAUGAAUGCCAGUCGUCGGCAAGUAUACUUGUCGGUGACACACCUAACGGAUUAAGCCAUUCCCGCCUGGGGAGUACGGUCGCAAGAUUAAAACUCCAAAGGAAUUGACGGGGGCCCGCACAAGCGGUGGAGCCAUGUGGUUUAAUUCGAAGCAACGCGCAGAACCUUACCAACCCUUGACAUCCUGAUCGCGGAUUAGAGAGAUCUUUUCCUUCAGUUCGGCUGGAUCAGUGACAGGUGCUGCAUGUCUGUCGUCAGCUCGUGUCGUGAGAUGUUCGGUUAAGUCCGGCAACGAGCGCAACCCACAUCCUUAGUUACCAGCGGUUUGGCCGGGGACUCUAGCGAAACUGCCCGUGAUAAGCGGGAGGAAGGUGUGGAUGACGUCAAGUCCUCAUG